GUCGCCGAAUGUCAAAAUGAAAUCAGUUUUUACAAAUCUAUCGUGUAGUUAACAGUAAAUAUAAAAUUAAGCAAAAAAAGUAGAAAAUACGCGUAAAGAUAUAAAAACACAGUAUCUUCUAAGAAAAUAAUUGAACAAAUCUAUUUGAAUAAACUUUUCAUCACUAUCACAAAUAUUGUUCACCGUCGGUGAAGAUUAUUUUUAUCUAUCUACAGUAACUAUAUCAAACAUAUCCUCAAAAUGUGUGGAGGCUGUGGUGGAUGCGGUGGCUGCGGCCCUUGCGGUGGAUGCGGGGGAUGCUGCGGUGGUUGCUGCGGACCCUGCGGGGGCUGUUGUGGCGGGUGCUGCGGUGGCUGCUGCGGAGGCGGCUGCUGUUGCGGAUGUCCCAAAAUAACGAUCCACACGUGUUGUACAAAGAUUUGUUAAUCGUGAACAAGACACGCAAGAGCUGCAAGAGACUAGUACUCCGGGUUGGUUGCGAUAUGACGUCUAUUCUCAGCAAAUCGGGAGUUCAGUCUCGAAGCGUCUUACCCCAGUGCUGUUCCAUUCGUUUUGUGAAACUCAGUGGCGUAUUAAAGUUUGGUUCAUUAUA